rnacentral:tRNA from 1 species
CAAAUUAGAGCUUGUAUAAUAAAGUAUUUCAUUUACAUUGAAAAGAAAUUAAGAUAAUUUAAUUAAUUUGA